CCUACGGGAGGCAGCAGUGAGGAAUAUUGGUCAAUGGACGCAAGUCUGAACCAGCCAUGCCGCGUGCAGGAAGACGGCUCUAUGAGUUGUAAACUGCUUUUGUACGAGGGUAAACCCAGAUACGCGUAUCUGUCUGAAAGUAUCGUACGAAUAAGGAUCGGCUAACUCCGUGCCAGCAGCCGCGGUAAUAAGGAGGAUUCAAGCGUUAUCCGGAUUUAUUGGGUUUAAAGGGUGCGUAGGCGGUCGGUUAAGUUAGAGGUGAAAUUCCGAGGCUCAACCUCGGAAUUGCCUCUGAUACUGGUCGGCUAGAGAGUAGUUGCGGUAGGCGGAAUGUAUGGUGUAGCGGUGAAAUGCUUAGAGAUCAUACAGAACACCGAUUGCGAAGGCAGCUUACCAAGCUACAUCUGACGUUGAGGCACGAAAGCGUGGGGAGCAAACAGGAUUAGAUACCCCAGUAGUC
rnacentral:rRNA from 1 species